GGAAGGAUGGCAGAGCGGGUGAAUGCAACGGUCUUGAAAACCGUCGAUCCUAAAGGAUCCCUGGGUUCGAAUCCCAGUCCUUCCGCCA
rnacentral:tRNA from 1 species